AUACGGAGGAUGCGAGCGUUAUCCGGAUUCAUUGGGUUUAAAGGGUGCGUAGGCGGCUUCUUAAGUCAGUGGUGAAAUCCUGCGGCUCAACCGUAGAACUGCCAUUGAAACUGGGGAGCUUGAAUACAGAUGAGGUAGGCGGAAUGAGUAGUGUAGCGGUGAAAUGCAUAGAUAUUACUCAGAACACCGAUUGCGUAGGCAGCUUACUAAACUGAUAUUGACGCUGAGGCACGAAAGCGUGGGGAGCGAACAGGAUUAGAUACCCUGGUAGUCCACGCAGUAAACGAUGUUCACUCGCUGUUUGCGAUACACAGUAAGCGGCUUAGCGAAAGCAUUAAGUGAACCACCUGGGGAGUACGUCGGCAACGGUGAA
rnacentral:rRNA from 1 species